rnacentral:lncRNA from 10 species
UUCACGACUAGGUAGAAGGUUAGAUAUAUGUGUGUACAUAUGUAUCUAUGUCUAUAUCUCUGUGUGUUCGUGUGUCUUAUGCAUGUUUUAUUUUAACUCUUUCCUCAUUGAACAUCUAGAUUGUUUCUGCUUUUCCUUUAUGUAAUCUAAAGCUGCCAUGAAGUUCCUAGUGCACAAAACAUGCUGACUUUCAAGAUUAUUUCCUGAUGAGUCAUUGCUAAAAGUAGAAUUCAUGUGUCAAAGUACAUGGCAGUUUGAAUGUUUUUUUGGAGGGGAGGAAGAAUGUGUUAUUCAAUGGCCACCUGUAAAUAUAGUACAAGUUCAUCUUCAUAAGUUGCAUCAGUGUUGUUACAGGACCCAGAUACCUGGACGAUUUUCUGCACUUGCUAUUACAUUUGUUUCUACAAUUCACCAGUAUUUUCUCAGGGACACAGGAGCUUUUUUGUUUUUAUUUAUGUUAUACAUUUAUUUUUAUACAAAUUGUACAAAAUUAUAAUAGAAAAUAUUUUUUAAAAAUUGCUAAUGUAAGAAAAGAAAGUUGAAAUCCUAAUACCCCUCCUAAUACUACUACUUGACAAAAUAAAUUUUCAAUAAUAGGUAUCUACCUACCUUUGUAUUUAUAACACAAUAUGCAUUGUUUCAUUGGAGGGUAUUUCACUAUUACAAUUAUCUGG